rnacentral:tRNA from 1 species
GCCCGAGUGGCGGAACUGGUAGACGCGCUGGUCUCAAAAACCUGUGGGAGCAAUCCCUUGCCGGUUCGAUUCCGGCCUCGGGUA